GAUGCGGGUACCCCGCAGGUUAACUGGUGACGGGCCAUCCGGAGCCACCACCGCUCUCCUUCCCACCACCAAAAGCGCGUGCCUCCUCCGCCGUCGGUUCGUCUCCGACCACCACUUUGAAAAGGUCAAAUCGCCACCGCCGCACCGACUCCUUCCCGGAAACCCAUCGCUUCCACCGACCUAGCAGCCUCUACAAAUACAACCCGACCCCCCCGUGGUUUUCCUUGUGCCGGAGAUCUGAUUUCUCCUCUCUUCUCCCUCCCGCCCGGUAAGCCGCAGGUAUGGGCUGCCGGUUCCGGUCUCGCGUUCGUGAUGAUUUGGUUAAUUGAGAGAUCUAGUAGAUCUGGUGAUUUCGCUGCUGUUACGUCGGUUGGUAUUGUAAUCCUGAACUAUGCUGCUUCGAUUUAGGGUCGCGGCUAACCUGUUUUGUUUCGAUUUCUGAUUUCAUUUAGGGUCGCGGGUAAUCUAUUAUUAUGUGCUGAUUACUGAGUGAUUCAGGGUUCUGGCUUAUUUAUUGUAUAUCCUAAUUGCUCGCUUUUUUUUUAACAUUUGGCCAGAAUAAUGAUUCAUAUAGAUGUGAUCAGUCCGUUUGCUUUCGUUCCUGUUCGGUAUGGUGGAUUGGCAAGGUCGGUUUAGUUGAUUCCGUGGAGGUGUUUGACAUGAUCGGAAUGAGUAAUCGAAGGUUGCGGUUACAAUUGGUCUGUUACUUUCAAGAUUGAUUCAGUAGUGUUCUGCUUACAAAUGCUAUUCAGUUCGGAUAGUGCAAACUCUGCAUAUUUUGCUCUUGAUCCUGUUCCUUCAUGACUCGGGUCUGCCUUGAAUUAUUAGACAUAGUUGGAAAAGCUUUGCUAGAUCUGCCUGGAAUUAUUUGCUUUCUCUGAGCGAGCUAGAUAUUUGAGAUUAUCUGAUGGAGGUUGUGCUAUAUUAUGGGCCAUGUUAUAAAGGUAGAGGCAAGGAUGCUCUAGUUGGGAAAUGUUUUUGUGCAACUGUGUGGACAUGCUCAUGACGACGUUAUUGUUCACUGGCGAUAUUUGGUUCUGUUUGGUCAGUUUACUUUCUAGGAGGAUUAAUUAACUUGGUUUGGAAAGUACCUUAAUGGUAGUAGAGGCAUGUCUUCGAAGUUAUCAGUUUGAAGGUUCUUUCAAGUUCAGCAACCUGUGAAGUAUUCUUUGACUUGUGUUGGCUUGGACUAAGUUUACUGCUGCUGUUUUUGACUUGGGUGUUACGUCAAGGUUUAUUCAGAUAUGUCGAAAAAAAAGUCUUACGUCAGAUGUUGCUACUGCCUGUUGGAAUCUUCUGAUCUUUUAUGAUGACAAUGGACUUUACUAGCAUGGGUUGGAUUUCAGCUUGAUGGAUAAUUGUUAGUUUGGCUUCUUCUGCUGUUUUGCGAAGCUCAAUGCAGUGUCGGAUUAGCUAAUUAGUUAACUUGUUAAUUUGUAUCUGUCAUCGUAAUUUAUGUUGUACAUAACUGUUGACCACACAUGUUGUCUGAUGUUGGGAAUUGUAACUGUUCAAUGAUAUAUGGAUGGCCUGAUUUAGUUUC